rfam:Streptomyces silvensis strain ATCC 53525 53525_Assembly_Contig_19, whole genome shotgun sequence.
CGAGCCGGGCGGACGGCCGCGUGGGGGUCCUUGUGGACCUCCCCGAGGAACGUCCGGGCUCCACAGGGCAAGGUGGUGGCUAACGGCCACCCGGGGUGACCCGCGGGACAGUGCCACAGAGAACAGACCGCCGAGGGCUUCGGCCCCCGGUAAGGGUGAAACGGUGGUGUAAGAGACCACCAGCGCCUGAGGUGACUCAGGCGGCUAGGUAAACCCCACCUGGAGCAAGGUCAAAAGGAGCGCCGUGAAACGCGCUCUGCGCGGACGUUCGAGGGCUGCCCGCCCGAGUCCGCGGGUGGACCGCACGAGGCCGACAGCAAUGCCGGCCCUAGAUGGAUGGCCGUCACCGAGGGGCCCGCGAGGACCCUUCGGGACAGAACCCGGCGUACAGCCCGACUCGUCUG